AGAGUUUGAUCCUGGCUCAGGACGAACGCUGGCGGCGUGCCUAAUACAUGCAAGUCGAACGCGUCUUGGUGAAUGAUUGGCGGUGCUUGCACCAAAGAGAUUUCACAUUGAGACGAGUGGCGAACUGGUGAGUAACACGUGGGUAACCUGCCCAUAAGCAGGGGAUAACACUUGGAAACAGGUGCUAAUACCGUAUAACAACUCAAACCGCAUGGUUUGAGUUUGAAAGAUGGUUUCGGCUAUCACUUAUGGAUGGACCCGCGGCGUAUUAGCUAGUUGGUGAGGUAACGGCUCACCAAGGCAAUGAUACGUAGCCGACCUGAGAGGGUAAUCGGCCACAUUGGGACUGAGACACGGCCCAAACUCCUACGGGAGGCAGCAGUAGGGAAUCUUCCACAAUGGACGAAAGUCUGAUGGAGCAACGCCGCGUGAGUGAAGAAGGGUUUCGGCUCGUAAAACUCUGUUGUUGGAGAAGAACGUGGGUGAGAGUAACUGUUCAUUUAUUGACGGUAUCCAACCAGAAAGCCACGGCUAACUACGUGCCAGCAGCCGCGGUAAUACGUAGGUGGCAAGCGUUGUCCGGAUUUAUUGGGCGUAAAGCGAGCGCAGGCGGUUUUUUAAGUCUGAUGUGAAAGCCUUCGGCUUAACCGGAGAAGUGCAUCGGAAACUGGGAGACUUGAGUGCAGAAGAGGACAGUGGAACUCCAUGUGUAGCGGUGAAAUGCGUAGAUAUAUGGAAGAACACCAGUGGCGAAGGCGGCUGUCUGGUCUGUAACUGACGCUGAGGCUCGAAAGCAUGGGUAGCGAACAGGAUUAGAUACCCUGGUAGUCCAUGCCGUAAACGAUGAGUGCUAAGUGUUGGAGGGUUUCCGCCCUUCAGUGCUGCAGCUAACGCAUUAAGCACUCCGCCUGGGGAGUACGACCGCAAGGUUGAAACUCAAAGGAAUUGACGGGGGCCCGCACAAGCGGUGGAGCAUGUGGUUUAAUUCGAUGCAACGCGAAGAACCUUACCAGGUCUUGACAUCC
rnacentral:rRNA from 1 species